UACGUUCCGUAAUGUGUGUUAUACAAAUUAUAUGCGAUGGUAUUUUGUGAUAUGGUCACAAAUAAUUUUCUCCGUGCUUACCUAUGGCCGAGUUGCUUAGUACACGCCAAUGGAGCCAACGUGAGUAGGAUAGAUAGUAACAGCUGUCGUGCUGCUAAACGAAACCACGAUAUAGCCAUCUAGAUAUUUCCCACCAUUCUGUAGAAAGGGAUCAAUCCGACGAAAUCCGUUGUGCAAACGUUGGAUGCUUGUAGACGUUGCUCAGCAAGUGUGGGCAUAGAAUAUAGUGAACAAUCAAAGGAGUGUCGAAUCCGCGCGGGCCUGGCAUCCUGCUAAAAGACCAAAAUGAAGCUUCACCUUACGUUGUUCUUUGCAACGCUUGUUGUGUCUGCUCUAUCGCUCGCGACCCAUUCGUCUACCGUAACCUAUACAGAGGUUAAUUACGCGAAGGAAAAGCUCAACACUACCUCAGGCGGUGUUCUACGCAACUCGACAACGAAGAGUGAGAACCCGCUAGACUUUACGGUCACAUCAAGACACCCUUCUACCACGGCGCGCGUCCAGCGUCAGGAUCAACGAGGCAUGCGGGUCCGCUUAUAGGCUCCGCAGCGCGCAAGUUACUGGCACUCCGCUAGCGCGAUCAAGCCGACAUUCCUCUGCAACACCACAAUGAUCACGAGCGUGCAGAAAAAGAUUGCAAAUAAAUUAUAUCGUUAAAGA